UGGGCGUAAAGAGCUCGUAAGUGGUUUGUCGCGUUGUUCGUGAAAUCUCACGGCUUAACUGUGAGCGUGCGGGCGAUACGGGCAGACUUGAGUACUGCAGGGGAGACUGGAAUUCCUGGUGUAGCGGUGGAAUGCGCAGAUAUCAGGAGGAACACCGGUGGCGAAGGCGGGUCUCUGGGCAGUAACUGACGCUGAGGAGCGAAAGCGUGGGGAGCGAACAGGAUUAGAUACCCUGGUAGUCCACGCCGUAAACGGUGGGUACUAGGUGUGGGUUUCCUUCCUUGGGAUCCGUGCCGUAGCUAACGCAUUAAGUACCCCGCCUGGGGAGUACGGCCGCAAGGCUAAAACUCAAAGAAAUUGACGGGGGCCCGCACAAGCGGCGGAGCAUGUGGAUUAAUUCGAUGCAACGCGAAGAACCUUACCUGGGUUUGACAUGCACAGGACGCCGGUAGAGAUGUCGGUUCCCUUGUGGCCUGUGUGCAGGUGGUGCAUGGCUGUCGUCAGCUCGUGUCGUGAGAUGUUGGGUUAAGUCCCGCAACGAGCGCAACCCUUGUCUCAUGUUGCCAGCGGGUAAUGCCGGGGACUCGUGAGAGACUGCCGGGGUCAACUCGGAGGAAGGUGGGGAUGACGUCAAGUCAUCAUGCCCCUUAUGUCCAGGGCUUCACACAUGCUACAAUGGCCGGUACAAAGGGCUGCGAUGCCGCGAGGUUAAGCGAAUCCUUUUAAAGCCGGUCUCAGUUCGGAUCGGGGUCUGCAACUCGACCCCGUGAAGUCGGAGUCGCUAGUAAUCGCAGAUCAGCAACGCUGCG
rnacentral:rRNA from 1 species